GUUAUAUGGUCAAGUGAAGAAGCGCAUACGGUGGAUGCCUUGGCAGUCAGAGGCGAUGAAAGACGUGGUAGCCUGCGAAAAGCUUCGGGGAGUCGGCAAACAGACUGUGAUCCGGAGAUGUCUGAAUGGGGGAACCCAGCCAUCAUAAGAUGGUUAUCUUGUACUGAAUACAUAGGUGCAAGAGGCGAACCAGGGGAACUGAAACAUCUAAGUACCCUGAGGAAAAGAAAUCAACCGAGAUUCCCUUAGUAGUGGCGAGCGAACGGGGACCAGCCCUUAAGUUGUAUUGAGAUUAGCGGAACGUUCUGGAAAGGACGGCCAUAGUGGGUGAUAGCCCUGUACGCGAAAAUCCCUUUGCAAUGAAAUCGAGUAGGACGGGGCACGAGAAACCUUGUCUGAAUAUGGGGGGACCAUCCUCCAAGGCUAAAUACUACUGACUGACCGAUAGUGAACCAGUACCGUGAGGGAAAGGCGAAAAGAACCGCGGAGAGCGGAGUGAAAUAGAUCCUGAAACCGUAUGCGUACAAGCAGUGGGAGCCCACUUUGUUGGGUGACUGCGUACCUUUUGUAUAAUGGGUCAGCGACUUAUUUUCAGUGGCGAGCUUAACCGAAUAGGGGAGGCGUAGCGAAAGCGAGUCUUAAUAGGGCGUCUAGUCGCUGGGAAUAGACCCGAAACCGGGCGAUCUAUCCAUGGGCAGGUUGAAGGUUGGGUAACACUAACUGGAGGACCGAACCGACUACCGUUGAAAAGUUAGCGGAUGACCUGUGGAUCGGAGUGAAAGGCUAAUCAAGCUCGGAGAUAGCUGGUUCUCCUCGAAAGCUAUUUAGGUAGCGCCUCAUGUAUCACUGUAGGGGGUAGAGCACUGUUUCGGCUAGGGGGUCAUCCCGACUUACCAAACCGAUGCAAACUCCGAAUACCUACAAGUGCCGAGCAUGGGAGACACACGGCGGGUGCUAACGUCCGUCGUGAAAAGGGAAACAACCCAGACCGUCAGCUAAGGUCCCAAAGUCAUGGUUAAGUGGGAAACGAUGUGGGAAGGCUUAGACAGCUAGGAGGUUGGCUUAGAAGCAGCCACCCUUUAAAGAAAGCGUAAUAGCUCACUAGUCGAGUCGGCCUGCGCGGAAGAUGUAACGGGGCUCAAACCAUGCACCGAAGCUACGGGUAUCAUCUUUUGAUGAUGCGGUAGAGGAGCGUUCUGUAAGCCUGUGAAGGUGAGUUGAGAAGCUUGCUGGAGGUAUCAGAAGUGCGAAUGCUGACAUGAGUAACGACAAUGGGUGUGAAAAACACCCACGCCGAAAGACCAAGGUUUCCUGCGCAACGUUAAUCGACGCAGGGUUAGUCGGUCCCUAAGGCGAGGCUGAAAAGCGUAGUCGAUGGAAAACAGGUUAAUAUUCCUGUACUUCUGGUUAUUGCGAUGGAGGGACGGAGAAGGCUAGGCCAGCCUGGCGUUGGUUGUCCAGGUUUAAGGUGGUAGGCUGAGAUCUUAGGUAAAUCCGGGAUCUUAAGGCCGAGAGCUGAUGACGAGUGUUCUUUUAGAACACGAAGUGGUUGAUGCCAUGCUUCCAAGAAAAGCUUCUAAGCUUCAGGUAACCAGGAACCGUACCCCAAACCGACACAGGUGGUUGGGUAGAGAAUACCAAGGCGCUUGAGAGAACUCGGGUGAAGGAACUAGGCAAAAUGGCACCGUAACUUCGGGAGAAGGUGCGCCGGUGGAGGUGAAGCAUUUACUGCGUAAGCCCCUGCCGGUCGAAGAUACCAGGCCGCUGCGACUGUUUAUUAAAAACACAGCACUCUGCAAACACGAAAGUGGACGUAUAGGGUGUGACGCCUGCCCGGUGCCGGAAGGUUAAUUGAUGGGGUUAGCGCAAGCGAAGCUCUUGAUCGAAGCCCCGGUAAACGGCGGCCGUAACUAUAACGGUCCUAAGGUAGCGAAAUUCCUUGUCGGGUAAGUUCCGACCUGCACGAAUGGCGUAACGAUGGCGGCGCUGUCUCCACCCGAGACUCAGUGAAAUUGAAAUCGCUGUGAAGAUGCAGUGUAUCCGCGGCUAGACGGAAAGACCCCGUGAACCUUUACUAUAGCUUUGCACUGGACUUUGAAUUUGCUUGUGUAGGAUAGGUGGGAGGCUUUGAAGCGUGGACGCCAGUCUGCGUGGAGCCAACCUUGAAAUACCACCCUGGCAACUUUGAGGUUCUAACUCAGGUCCGUUAUCCGGAUCGAGGACAGUGUAUGGUGGGUAGUUUGACUGGGGCGGUCUCCUCCUAAAGAGUAACGGAGGAGUACGAAGGUGCGCUCAGACCGGUCGGAAAUCGGUCGUAGAGUAUAAAGGCAAAAGCGCGCUUGACUGCGAGACAGACACGUCGAGCAGGUACGAAAGUAGGUCUUAGUGAUCCGGUGGUUCUGUAUGGAAGGGCCAUCGCUCAACGGAUAAAAGGUACUCCGGGGAUAACAGGCUGAUACCGCCCAAGAGUUCAUAUCGACGGCGGUGUUUGGCACCUCGAUGUCGGCUCAUCACAUCCUGGGGCUGAAGCCGGUCCCAAGGGUAUGGCUGUUCGCCAUUUAAAGUGGUACGCGAGCUGGGUUUAGAACGUCGUGAGACAGUUCGGUCCCUAUCUGCCGUGGACGUUUGAGAUUUGAGAGGGGCUGCUCCUAGUACGAGAGGACCGGAGUGGACGAACCUCUGGUGUUCCGGUUGUCACGCCAGUGGCAUUGCCGGGUAGCUAUGUUCGGAAAAGAUAACCGCUGAAAGCAUCUAAGCGGGAAACUUGCCUCAAGAUGAGAUCUCACUGGAACCUUGAGUUCCCUAAAGGGCCGUCGAAGACUACGACGUUGAUAGGUUGGGUGUGUAAGCGCUGUGAGGCGUUGAGCUAACCAAUACUAAUUGCCCGUGAGGCUUGACCAUAUAACACCCAAGCAAUU
rnacentral:rRNA from 3 species